rnacentral:rRNA from 1 species
UUGCUCUUCAACGAGGAAUGCCUAGUAAGCGCGUGUCAUCAGCACGCGUUGAUUACGUCCCUGCCCUUUGUACACACCGCCCGUCGCUACUACCGAUUGAAUGGCUCAGUGAGGCCUUCGGACUGGCUCGAGGAGGUUGGCAACGACCACCUCAAGCCGGAAAGUUGGUCAAACUCGGUCAUUUAGAGGAAGUAAAAGUCGUAACAAGGUUUCCGUAGGUGAACCUGCGGAAGGAUCAUUAUCCAUCCAAAACCAGCUGCGGUCGCGGCCCCACGCUUACCCGUGGCGGUACGCGCCGCACGUCUGCACCCUUUUUUUACGAGUACCUUCGUUCUCCCUCGGCAGGGCAACCUGCCGUUGGAACCAUACGAAACCUUUUUUUGCAUCUAGCAUUACCUGUUCUGAUACAAACAAUCGUUACAACUUUCAACAAUGGAUCUCUUGGCUCUGGCAUCGAUGAAGAACGCAGCGAAAUGCGAUAAGUAGUGUGAAUUGCAGAAUUCAGUGAAUCAUCGAAUCUUUGAACGCACAUUGCGCCCCUUGGUAUUCCAUGGGGCAUGCCUGUUCGAGCGUCAUCUACACCCUCAAGCUCUGCUUGGUGUUGGGCGUCUGUCCCGCCUCUGCGCGUGGACUCGCCUCAAAAUCAUUGGCAGCGGUCCUUGCCUCCUCUCGCGCAGCACAUUGCGCUUCUCGAGGGGCGUGGGUCGCGUCCACGAAGCAACAUUACCGUCUUUGACCUCGGAUCAGGUAGGGAUACCCGCUGAACUUAAGCAUAUCAAUAAGCGGAGGA